UUACUCUCCUGAUAGCAAGGAGUGAAGCUGUGCAGCAAGUCUCUGGUGGGGUGAGGAGACAGCUCAGGGGAAAAGGCUUGGUAGGAAGGAUUCUGGUGGACUGAACGUUGACAACCUGUCCUAGGGUUUCUGGAGUGGAACCCUGUGUAGCAGGUGGGCCUGGGUUCCCUGCCCGCUGCUGGUAGGUGGCAAGGAGCACCUGAGAAGGGGACAACGGGGAGAGCUGAGGAAAAAGUGCUUGGACCAUUGGUCCCAGAACCGAGGGUGUGAGCCUGGAUGGAGGGAAUGGACUCUCUUGCUGACCUUUGUCACGCUGGCAGGGGGGAUAAAGCAUGACCUCUCCGGAGGGCUGAAUUACAAGAAGAGACAGACCGCUAUGGGGCUGCAGUGACUGUCAGCUGGGGUGCUAGAAAAGGAGAGCCUGCUAUGCCGUGCCCAGCCAUGAAGGGCUGUUCUAGGGGGAGCUUCUUAACCCAGGGACCCUGCUGCAGGGUAACACGGCUGGAUCCACAGGUGCCUGCUACUCUUUAUGCCUGAAAAUUAAUAGAGACAGAAGCAGAAGGCAAAGCCAGUGGGAAGGGGCAGCGUUUUCAGCCAGGAUUCUUCAUCUGCAGCAGGCAGUGGCAUUCUGGGCAACGCCAGCCAGCACAUUUCACCAGGAUCCAUGUGGAGUGUGGCCCCAUCUCCAUGGACUAUUCUGUCUUGGGAUGAUUGGUAUCAAUCCUAGUGUUGAUCUUUGACUCCUGACCCAAACUUGCAGCCCGCACCUGCUUCUAAAACAGAACCAACUCCAAACCCAAGUGCUGUGAUGCUGCAGUUGGAACCUGUUGCUACGAACAACUAAGAUGACAUGAGCCAUCAGCCUCAUUCCCCACAGUGACCUAAGCCGGGACUGUAGAGCUUUUGAAAAAGUUUAACAAAUAGUGCUGAAAACCGAGGGAGGAGAGAGAGAAUGAAUUAUCCUGGUGAUUGGAAGACAAAGCACUUCUUUGCUGCUGCUGUUUAGGUGGAUGAUGAACUGUGCCAAAAAAUGAAGAGGAGAAAAAUGAAAGAAAGAAAGAAAGAAAGAAAGAACCUCUUCAGGGUGUUUAUCCAACCAGCAUGUUUGCUCAUUUUGUAUCUUAGCUCAUGCAUAAUGCCAAUGAGAUGGAAAGAACCUGCUUUGCUAUCAAGGGGGACAAAGGCAGCAGAUCUGUGGUUCACCAUGGGCUAUCGGCAAAUGUAGGCAGGCUAAUGAAUCAAUCUAUCUUCUGGAUCCACUGGACCAAACGUGCACAUAUGCAGGGAAGCAGCAGACAGCGUCUACUACUCUCACCUUCGGAUUCACUCGCAGUAGCUGUGCCACAGCCCGGCAGCUGCCUCAGCAGUUGAAGGAUGAGGAUUCCAUGCACAUUUCCAUGGGGAAAAUUACUUUUCAUUCCAGAUUUGCUCCAUGUUCCAGCAUUUGGCCUUUUUGUGCAUUCCAAAAGCAAAUGAAACGGCAGCUGGAAAGUGAAGACUCCAGGACUGUCUCAAUGGCACUUUGUUCAUCUCAUCCAUUUGGAGACCCUCUAGUGCUCUAAUAACCGUUAUUGCAGCCUCAUAUAGCCCUCUUAGGUAUCGUAUCUACUCUGCAGAUGGGGAAGAUAAGCAUGGAGAUACCACAGAGCUUAGCACAGGGAAUGGCUUAGAAAAAAAAGCUACCCUCCACCACAGAGGGAUUGUAUGACUUUAUCCAACUUCUCACCAUGAGUCUGUGGCACUGCCAAAACUAGAACCCAGGAAGCCUGACACCCAGCCCUGGUCUUUAGCCAAUGUCCAUUCACCCU